CCUUACUUAACUCAUCCUCUGAUGCAUUCUUUGAGAAAUAUGUGUGAUCAUUUUGCCAAACUUUGUAAUAUUGGGAUCAUUUCUUCUGCUCUUCAGAUAGGAAUUAGAUGAUGAUAUUAAUGGCUCUCGGAAUUAUCCAAGACAACGAUCUUUGUGUGCUGAAUUUUCAAUUAUCAAAGCCAAAUAUUCACAGAUUCCAAGCAGUGUAGAAGGCGCCCAAACACCACGAUUGAGAUUGAGACUGAGACGCGCCCCUGGAAGGUGUAUUUUAUCCCACAGGGAGAAGACUUAAACACGGAGAGUAACUGCAGAAGUGAACCAGGAAGAGAAAAGAACCUUACAUGGCACAUUAGCAGCGAGCCGCAUCAGAAGUGGAGCAGCCGGGACUCGAACCGACAACCAUAUGGAAUGCCGGCAUCACAGGCAACGGCUUUACCCUUUAUGCCACAGCGCCAGCCCCCAACUGGACUCCUCUACCCCAACCUCGCGCACCCCAGUGGAACACACACAAUCCUUCAGCGUAGACGCCCUGAGGGAGAGCUGCUCUUUCCAUCUUAUAAAUUGAGCUUAUUUCCUUGUGAAUUCAAGCAAACACUCAAUCCUCCCCUUUGAGUUAAAGAAAUCAGAUAAGCGGCUGAUUGGAGGGCGAUACCCUGAUUUCCAUUUAUUUACGUUCGGCAUGAAUCGUCUCGGUGGACGAGUGCAUCUUGGUGGAAGAGGAGUUAAAAACACAGCGCCAGGGUCUGCCUUCCUCCCUUCUUCCUGUGGACCGCGACCUUUGCUUUGUUCAACUUCCUCAAUUUAGACUCAGUGGAUUGUCAUGGAGCGCCACAACACCUGCUUCGGCACUUGAGAAAUUGACUUUUCCUGCAAAUUGCCCUGAUCAGUGACCUUGUCUUGGCUACCAAAGAGUGGAGAGGAGGAGGAGGCUGUAUGUGUGGCCGGACCCCAGCCCAGGUUAGGACUCGGCUCUUUCAAGUCCACCGUUCUCUCUCGAAUGUACAGACACUCUCAGACAAAUGCCACAUUAUAAUCAGCAGCCGGAAAACCCAAGCGUCACCUCUUGGGGAAAUAACAUUUGAUCUUACAAGGGAUGGGCCGUGGAAUAAUUUACGAGCUUCCAAUUAUAAUUUUCUUAAAGAGGGGGCUCUUUGCCUCUUUGUUGUGAGUGGCUCGCUCAGUUAGGUCUCGGUGUGAGUGACGUGACAGCGGACAGAAGCCUUCAGCCGGUUCUCGGGGUCUUCGUCUUUCAAAGAUGCUUCCUUUGCAGAGAGGUUCAGAUCAGUGCCUGCCACGCAGGCAUCGGGAGAGAUCAAAGGCCACCCCUGGAAGCUCAAGAGGUAAAAUUAUAUUUUUAUCCGUUAGCUUUGAUUCUUGGCGGCUUACCGCAUUUUUUAAAAAAUUAAUUGCUCUGUCCAGCCGACAGGUGUUAGCCCUCAAGUGUGGGCCUAGGGCCGGCUGCUGGGCAGGCAGCUUAAAGGCCCCAUAACUCACUGCAACCUUGAGCUCCCUCAGAUUGGUCCAAGAGAAAGUUCUAAAAGUACUUCAAGGCCAGAUGACGUGGGAACCCGUGUCCCUGUCAAAUAUCAAAGACAAACAGUUAGACUGUAAAAAUGUAAACUUAGAAAGCGUGCACUUAAUGUGGACAAGCUUUUAGUAUCAAGUUGCAGGUUCCGGGCAAUGAGGCAGCGUGGACGCAAACCGGCCACAGGAAGCAGAACCUGAAAGCUCAUUAAGAAUCAAACCGGGGCGCCCUGACUCACUUUCCCCACAUCUGUGCACUCGAAUUUAGACAAGGGAUUGAUUCACACGUUAGGGAACCAAACUCACUUUUUACCCUCUAUACCGAUAAAGCCCAAGGAAACAGAAAAGACUUUCAGUUUCCAUGGAGUUUCACGAAGAUUAAGAUGGAUUCUGUAAGUCGUUAAAAUAUUUUGAAAAAGAUUGUUUCAAACAUCAUCACGCUGUCAAUGAAACCACAAGGUUUCUUGUUGUUGUUGUUUUUUGCCUUAAACAACUGGAGGAGCAGGACUUAGUAAAGGCCCCCCUCUAUCUGUCCCACCUGUAACGGCUUGUCCCACUGGAACAGACCAGGGGGGUCCAUGGGACGUCCGCCCUGUAAAUGUCUCUCUCACACUCACGUCUCUCGGGCUAUGGGCAAGGAGUUACCCUUGUGUAGACAACAACAGCCUAAGGAAGAGACGGAUGGGAGGUGAGCACCACGUGUGUGCAUUGGUGGCCCUGGAGUGGCUCCUCCCAGAAGGUCUGAGAGCCGGUCAUAGUCACCGCGGCAGGUGCCCAGUCCCCACUGCUGCUGAGUAAGCUCUUUUUAAGAUUCUGGCCUUUGCCAAACACCCCGACCUGAGGACUGGUUGUACUUCCUCCUUCCUCUUCCUCUUCCUGCCCACCCUCCCCCACAUCACUCGGAAACCUGCCGGCUCGGUGGCCCCGCGGCUGCUGCCACAAUGUGCUCUCUCACAUGGGAAGGAGCCGAAACUUCAGCAUGCGAAUUGUAUUCUCCACAACAUAUGGUGGAGA